rnacentral:snRNA from 1 species
GAUAUUGAGCGUGAUCUGGCUGCAACAUCUGUUACCCCAUAAAUUGCCAGGGUUGAUUCAGCUGAUCUGGCUGGCUAUGUGAGUGUUCCCUUCCUCUCUCACCUCUCCAUGUACAUCCCUCCCAAAGCUGUGCGCUUGGUCAAAGAGGACAACCGUCCUCGAUAGAGGAGGACUGGUCUUCGGUCAAGGGUAUACAAGUAGCUGCACUCCCCUGCUAGAACCUCCAAACAAGUUCUCAUUGAGGACCAAUGUAAACUUUAACCUCAGACUGACAGCAAAUAGCUGGAGAGAUUCCAGAUCCCAUAGCAACAUCCAAGACAAGGAGAAGAGGAAGAAAAUAGCUAAGUGAAAAAGAGAGUUUCUCUUUCUU